rnacentral:rRNA from 1 species
UACGUAGGGUGCGAGCGUUAAUCGGAAUUACUGGGCGUAAAGCGUGCGCAGGCGGUGAUGUAAGACAGAUGUGAAAUCCCCGGGCUCAACCUGGGACCUGCAUUUGUGACUGCAUCGCUGGAGUGCGGCAGAGGGGGGGAUGGAAUUCCGCGUGUAGCAGUGAAAUGCGUAGAUAUGCGGAGGAACACCGAUGGCGAAGGCAAUCCCCUGGGCCUGCACUGACGCUCAUGCACGAAAGCGUGGGGAGCAAACAGG